AUUGAACGCUGGCGGCAUGCCUUACACAUGCAAGUCGAACGGCAGCACGGGGCAACCUGGUGGCGAGUGGCGAACGGGUAAGUAAUGCAUCGGAACGUGCCAUUGAGUGGGGGAUAACGUAGCGAAAGUUGCGCUAAUACCGCAUAUUCUGUGAGCAGGAAAGCAGGGGACCGCAAGGCCUUGCGCUCUUUGAGCGGCCGAUGUCAGAUUAGCUAGUUGGUGAGGUAACGGCUUACCAAGGCGACGAUCUGUAGCGGGUCUGAGAGGAUGAUCCGCCACACUGGAACUGAGACACGGUCCAGACUCCUACGGGAGGCAGCAGUGGGGAAUUUUGGACAAUGGGCGAAAGCCUGAUCCAGCCAUGCCGCGUGAGUGAAGAAGGCCU
rnacentral:rRNA from 1 species